rnacentral:lncRNA from 1 species
GUAAUAUCUCACUAUUAUGAGGUGAGUAGGGGGUGUCAAUUUUAAAAAUUUCAUAUAUAUAUACAUGUACGUAUAUUUUACGUGAAGUGCAAAAUUUAUGGAAAGCAUGCGUUGAUAGAAUUUUAAGGAAUUGUGGGUGUAAGUUAUUUUUAGAAAUCAUUUGAAAUAUAUAUAUAUAUAUAUAUUAGACGUAAAGUGUUUUAAACCGGGAAACAAGCUUUUCGAAAAGAUUUACAUCAAAGGAAAUUGUGCCUUAUUGUUUGUGUGGUGUGCAUUCAUGAAAUUUAUUACAUAUUCACCAUGCUAUUUUGAUACAAAAUAUCAUGCAAAUAUUUACAAUGAACAUUUUAUGAAAAGAGAGUUUUAACAUGAUGUGGGGAUCGAUAUUUUGAGAAAGAUUUAAAAUAUCCCCUUGAAGAUCAAAUUUGAAUUCUUUUAAAAGGUGAUUUCAUUUUAAUCAAGAAAUUCAAG